AUUGAACGCUGGCGGCAGGCCUAACACAUGCAAGUCGAGCGGAGCGGCGGACGGGUGAGUAAUACCUAUGAAUCUGCCUGGGAGUGGGAGAUGACGUUCGGAAACGGACGCUAAUCCCGCAUACUCUCAGAUGAGCCUAGGUGGGAUUAGCUAGUUGGUGCGGUAAUGGCUCACCAAGGCUACGAUCCGUAACUGGUCUGAGAGGAUGAUCAGCCACACUGGAACUGAGACACGGGCCAGACUCCUACGGGAGGCAGCAGUGGGGAAUAUUGGACAAGGGGCGAAAGCCUGAGGCAGCCAUGCCGCGUGUGUGAAGAAGGCCUUCGGAUUGUAAAGCACUUUAAGUGGGGAGGCGUUACCGACAGAAGAAGCACCGGCUAACUCUGUGCCAGCAGCCGCGGUAAUUC
rnacentral:rRNA from 1 species